rnacentral:rRNA from 1 species
CCGGUCCGCCUCACCGCGAGUACUGGUCCGGCUGGACCUUUCCUUCUGGGGAACCUCAUGGCCUUCACUGGCUGUGGGGGGAACCAGGACUUUUACUGUGAAAAAAUUAGAGUGUUCAAAGCAGGCCUUUGCUCGAAUACAUUAGCAUGGAAUAAUAGAAUAGGACGUGUGGUUCUAUUUUGUUGGUUUCUAGGACCGCCGUAAUGAUUAAUAGGGAUAGUCGGGGGCGUCAGUAUUCAGCUGUCAGAGGUGAAAUUCUUGGAUUUGCUGAAGACUAACUACUGCGAAAGCAUUCGCCAAGGAUGUUUUCAUUAAUCAGGGAACGAAAGUUAGGGGAUCGAAGACGAUCAGAUACCGUCGUAGUCUUAACCAUAAACUAUGCCGACUAGGGAUCGGACGGGAUUCUAUAAUGACCCGUUCGGCACCUUACGAGAAAUCAAAGUUUUUGGGUUCUGGGGGGAGUAUGGUCGCAAGGCUGAAACUUAAAGAAAUUGACGGAAGGGCACCACAAGGCGUGGAGCCUGCGGCUUAAUUCGACUCAAC